AGUGUGUGUGUGUGUGUGUGUGGGUGUUUUAAAGUAUUAAAUGCUAAUAAAAUAAAUAUCCUACAAAUGUACCCCAACUCGUUAUUGAAAAUCGCAUUCACUCGCAUUGGCUGAGCAUAUGAUUGCUGCCGAAACAUGGCAUUUUAACAUUUGACAAAAGUAAA